UACGAAGGGGGCUAGCGUUGUUCGGAAUCACUGGGCGUAAAGGGCGCGUAGGCGGCUUUAUAAGUCGGGGGUGAAAGCCUGUGGCUCAACCACAGAAUUGCCUUCGAUACUGUAGAGCUUGAGACCGGAAGAGGUUAGUGGAACUGCGAGUGUAGAGGUGAAAUGCGUAGAGAUCAGGAGGAACACCCGGGGCGAAGGCGGCCCUCUGGCUCGACCCUGACGCUGAGGCGCGAAAGCGUGGGGAGCGAACGGG
rnacentral:rRNA from 1 species